GGUAAAAUGGCUGAGUUAAGCGGCGGUUUGUAGCUCCGACGAGAUAGGUUAAAGUCCUUUUUUUACCA
rnacentral:tRNA from 1 species